CGAGGCAACUCUGGAAAGCAGCCAGGCUUCGGUCCGGCUCACCGACGGUGCAAGCGGAACACAAUGCGACAAUGCGUUCUGCGGAAUCUCUCAGGUCCGAUGCAGAGCGGGGAGG
rnacentral:ncRNA from 2 species